rnacentral:rRNA from 1 species
UGGGGAAUAUUGGACAAUGGGCGCAAGCCUGAUCCAGCCAUGCCGCGUGUGUGAAGAAGGCCUUUUGGUUGUAAAGCACUUUAAGCGAGGAGGAGGCUACUUGGAUUAAUACUCUAGGAUAGUGGACGUUACUCGCAGAAUAAGCACAGGCUAACUCUGUGCCAGCAGCCGCGGUAAUACAGAGGGUGCGAGCGUUAAUCGGAUUUACUGGGCGUAAAGCGUGCGUAGGCGGCUUCUUAAGUCGGAUGUGAAAUCCCUGAGCUUAACUUAGGAAUUGCAUUCGAUACUGGGAAGCUAGAGUAUGGGAGAGGAUGGUAGAAUUCCAGGUGUAGCGGUGAAAUGCGUAGAGAUCUGGAGGAAUACCGAUGGCGAAGGCAGCCAUCUGGCCUAAUACUGACGCUGAGGUACGAAAGCAUGGGGAGCAAACAGG